rnacentral:lncRNA from 1 species
AUAUGGAGCAAGAAGCAGAAGCUGUGCAGGUCUUGAAGGGACCACCAAGACCCCAUGCUUAAUUAGCCUAGACCCUUACAAACUACUCUGUAGAGCUGGGGGGUGCAGUGCGGUGGUAGAGGGCUUGCCUACCCUGUGCGAGGUCCUGGGUUCCAUCCCAGCACUACACACACACACACACAAAAAAAAAACUCUUUGCUGGCCGAAACAGCUUGUUCUCAUUAACCAAUGACUUCAGAGCAUAGAGGUCAAAGGCCUCCCAGCCCAGAAAUUUCAAAUUUCAGCUAUCAACUCUGAUUUGGAAAGCAGAAUGAGAAGGUGCCUCAGAACCUCCAAUGUGUCACAUUUUGCAGACUGUCACAUUUUGUGCAUUAAAAUUGGGACCCCAAGUUCACUUUCAACAUGUGCCAUGACAUAUUUGGGGAGUGAGGGUCAGGAGUCAUGUCCUUGGAAUCCAAUAGCAUCCCUUCAAUGCAUGUUUGGGGCCCUGGCCUGGGAAGCAACCUGAUCCCAGCCUAAGAGAGAUGGGCCUGGGGCACACAGAACACUGACUUCUCCACUAGUAUCCAAAUCAGAGCCUCUGUUUCAACCUUUCCCUGCCCCCUGCCCUGUGGCAUGGCCAAGACAGAUUUAUGAAGCAAUCGCAGAGAAUCCCUCCCAGUGCUACACGGGCCCCUCAUCCCAGGCGAGGUCCAAGCUUCUGGCGCUCCCUUAGUCUCACCCACAGGCAGAACUCAGGCGUUCCAGACUGGGCCCUGCUGGGGCUCCAGAAGAUCCAUGUUGGCAGCUAGACACAUUGACACAUGAGCCCUAUGAUGUCCAGUCGCUUCCAGGUCCAUGGCUUGUCUUGCUAAAGGCAGAGCAUGUCCGGGUGUGGGCAGAAUUGGGGCUACAGGCCUUGGGAGUGUCCCUGCCUCGUGAGUGGCACCUGCUCCUCUUCAGUGUGUACAUGUGGCUUUAAGUCCUUCAAAUUAAGAGAUAAAUAUAAAUACACACAUGUACUUUUUGUUCUGCUUGUAAAAGUAAUCAUUUUCACUGUAAAUUUUUCAAACAGUACAUAAAUACGAUAUGUCCUUUUCCAGUUUGUUGAGAAUUUUUUUAUGAAUCACACACACAUAUCUAUAUAUAUGUGUAUAUGGAAAAUAUUUUAAACAAAAUGAUAGAAAAUAUGUUUCCAAAUUGCCUUUUUCAGUUAAUAUUAUAUUUUGUUGUUGUAUUUGAUACUGAGGAUCGAACCCUGGGGCACUUAAUCACUGAGCCACAUCCCCAGCCCUUUUCUUUCUUUCUUUUUAAAAUAUUUUUUAGGUCUCAAUGGACCUUUAUUUUAUUUAUUUAUAUGUGGUGUUGAGAAUCAAACCCAGUGCCUCACACAUUCUAGGCAAGUGCUCUACCACUGAGCCACAACCCUACAACCCAGCCCUCCUCAGCCCUUUUCUGUAUUUUCUUUAGAGACAGGAUCUUGCUAAGAUGCCGAGGCUGGCUUUGAACUCGUGAUUCUCUUGCCUCAGGCUUCCAAACCCCUGGGAUUGCAGGCGUGUGCCACUGCACCCAGUUAAUACUAUAGUACUAUGUUUUGGACAUUUAAAUAACGCCAAUACCUGGGCUGGAGAUGUAGCUCAGUGGUAGAG